AUAGCAGCCUAACAUGCAAGUCGAGCGGUACAGANNGUAGCUUGCUACUUUGCUGACGAGCGGCGGACGGGUGAGUAAUGCUUGGGAACAUGCCUUGAGGUGGGGGACAACAGAUUGGAAACGACUGCUAAUACCGCAUAAUGUCUACGGACCAAAGGGGGCUUCNGCUCUCGCCUUUA
rnacentral:rRNA from 1 species